rnacentral:rRNA from 1 species
GACGAACGCUGGCGGCGUGCUUAACACAUGCAAGUCGAACGGAAAGGCCCGGCUUUUGUGGGGUGCUCGAGUGGCGAACGGGUGAGUAACACGUGAGUAACCUGCCCUUGACUUUGGGAUAAAUUCAGGAAACUGGGGCUAAUACCGGAUAGGAGCUACUGCUGCAUGGUGGGGGUUGGAAAGGUUCGGCGGUUGGGGAUGGACUCGCGGCUUAUCAGCUUGUUGGUGGGGUAGUGGCUUACCAAGGCUUUGACGGGUAGCCGGCCUGAGAGGGUGACCGGCCACAUUGGGACUGAGAUACGGCCCAGACUCCUACGGGAGGCAGCAGUGGGGAAUAUUGCACACUGGGCGGAAGCCUGAUGCAGCAACGCCGCGUGCGGGAUGACGGCCUUCGGGUUGUAAACCGCUUUCGCCUGUGACGAAGCGUGAGUGACGGUAAUGGGUAAAGAAGCACCGGCUAACUACGUG